AAUUAGAAAGCGAAUUUAUUGCAUUUAGUUUCGACCUAAACCUUGGUUAAUUAACCUCUAAUUA
rnacentral:tRNA from 1 species